rnacentral:rRNA from 1 species
UACGUAGGGCGCGAGCGUUGUCCGGAAUUAUUGGGCGUAAAGAGCUCGUAGGCGGUUUGUUGCGCCUGCUGUGAAAGACCGGGGCUUAACUUCGGGGUUGCAGUGGGUACGGGCAGACUAGAGUGUGGUAGGGGUAAUUGGAAUUCCUGGUGUAGCGGUGGAAUGCGCAGAUAUCAGGAGGAACACCGAUGGCGAAGGCAGGUUACUGGGCCACCACUGACGCUGAGGAGCGAAAGCGUGGGUAGCGAACAGG